CGGGGAAAGUUAACCUCUGUGAAAGUGGGCUAGGUCUUGUAAGUGUGAGCUGAAGUUGGGUAAGAUUAGGUUAGGUUAGGUUAGGUUAGGUUAGGUUAGAGUAAAUAACACAAGAAAAACAAGACUUGAAAUUUCGGGUUAGGUUAGGUUAGGUUAGGUUAGGUUAGAGUAAAUAACACAAGAAAAAACAAGACUUGAAAUUUCGGGUUAGGUUAGGUUAGGUUAGGUUAGGGUAAAGUUGGGUAAAGUUAGGUUAGGUUAGGUUAAGUUAGGUUAGGUUAGGUUAGGUUAGGUUAGGUUAGGUAAGGUUAGAGUAAAUAGCACGAGAAAAACAAGACUUGAAAUUUGAAAUAAGUAAUUGAGGCAAGUUUAAGUUUCGUUGACGUCGUGAUCGUUGACACCGUGAUCAUUUUUCUUAAGAGUCAGAAAUUUUUAUUUUUGGAUGAUCAUGGUGUCAACAAAAACUUAGAAAAACUGUUUGUUGACACCAUGAUCGUUGACACCAUGCUACGUAAUCCCGUGAACGGUCCUUCCGCGUCGAUCGAAAUUUUUUCGAAAAUUCCUCCUGGAAUUUUAUGAGAUUGCAUUUGUCAUAAACGCAAAAUGUCAUAAACAGCCCCAUAAUGUAGAACGGCUAGUAUAUAAACCAGUAAAGUCUUGUUCACGAACAGGUGCAUAUGUUGUUCAUGAACUUGACAAAAACACACCCCUAAAUAAGGACAUCGGGGCUCAGGGGUGCCAUUCCGGGUUCACAGCCCCAUGAUGUAUUACGGCUAGGACAUAACCUAGCAGUCAGUUGCUGACAAACAGCUCCAUGUGUUGUUCAUGAGCAAGCGCAUAUGUUGCGCAAAAUAUAUGAGCAAAAUGUAAAUGUUUGUAUUAAUAAAUACUCACUCUCAUUCCCUUCACCACUCAUUUUAAACUUCUAAACUUCCACUUAAAACUUCCACUUGAUCACAAACUUCCACACUGGUUCUUGAUCGCUGGUACUUAAGCAGGGAACUGAUAACAGGUGUAAACAAAGGUAAAGCAGCGCUCGCGGCGCAU
rnacentral:lncRNA from 1 species